rnacentral:rRNA from 1 species
GACGAACGCUGGCGGCGUGCUUAACACAUGCAAGUCGAACGGAAAGACCCUGCUUUUGUGGGGUGCUCGAGUGGCGAACGGGUGAGUAACACGUGAGUAACCUGCCCUUGACUUUGGGAUAACUUCAGGAAACUGGGGCUAAUACCGGAUAGGAGCUCCUGCUGCAUGGUGGGGGUUGGAAAGUUUCGGCGGUUGGGGCUGGUCUGGCGGCUUAUCAGCUUGUUGGUGGGGUAGUGGCAUUCCAAGGCUUUGACGGGUAGCCGGCCUGAGAGGGUGACCGGCCACAUUAGUACUGAGAUACGGCGCAGAAGCCUACGGGAGGCAGCAGUGGGGAAUAUUGCACAAUGGGCGGAAGCCUGAUGCAGCAGCGCCGCGUGCGUGAUGACGGGCUUCGGGUUGUGAACAGCUUUCGCCUGAGACGAAGCGUGAGUGACGGUAAUGGGUAAAGAAGCACCGGCUAACUACGUG